ACCUGGCUGGCUCAGUUGGUAGAGCAUGUGACUCUUGAUCUCAGGGUUGUGAGUUCAAACCCCAUGUUGGGCA
rnacentral:tRNA from 1 species